UUAUUCCAUGGUCAUCGUAUAUGGGUUUUUGCCCCUAUUUGCUCUGCUGAUGCCCCCGCAAGAUCUAAAAAGUGAAAAAUACGAAGGAGUUUAAUGGCGUUUGUGGGUGCGAUUGGUGUCUCCAUGCCGGAAUACAAGUAAUGCGUGGUAGAGGGAGCACGAGAGUUUAUCCAUUUGACGAGGCUCAAAAACAACGCAGCCAUCAUGAAAUGGAAUUGUGGGCAUUAGAAGCUUUGGAAAAGGAAACUGCAAUAAUGGGUGUGAAAGGGCCAAGUAUGCUUUCAAAGAUUAGUCACUUUGACAUGCAGUAACCACGAAAGCCCAUGGUACAUUGGACAGCCUUUCAAACAAACAAUUUAUGACAGUUUAAUCAAGAACAUCGUUGUUCCAAAAGAAGUACGACGGCUUCCAAGAUCUUUAACUACACGCGAACACUGGAAAGUGUUCACCAACUGUCUCACCUGGCUAAGAGUACUGAGAUGUGUGGACCACUAUGGGCUGUAUCAACAUUUUUGUUUGAGAGCAACAAUGCUACUCUGAAGAAUAUGAUCCAAGGAACACAGUAUGUUUCUGGUCAGGAUCUAUGAAGCGGAAAAACUGCUACGUUAAAGUAACACGUCAAGGUAAAUCAUUUUUUAAUAUAAUAGCUGGAUUGUUUUCUUUGAAAAGAUGCAACUGUCACAUACAGCAUCACGAAGAAUGUGUUUGUCCUAAAUUGAACGUAAUUGCAUACACCCUUUUCAACGUUGUAAGAAAUCAAAUGUACAUUGAACAUUAAUUAAAACAUUACGUCUGAUUUUAUAUCAGAGAUUAUAGAGUCACCAGAGGUAGUUAUAUUGAACUUAAAUGAAAUCGUCUCCAAAUGUAUCAAAGUUGUCCAUAAAAAAUAAAUUUAUCUGAUUAGUUUGCCUAA